rnacentral:rRNA from 1 species
GACGAACGCUGGCGGCGUGCUUAACACACGCAAGUCGAACGAUGAGGCUGGAGCUUGCUCCGGUGGAUUAGUGGCGAACGGGUGAGUAACACGUGAGCAAUCUGCCCUUGACUCUGGGAUAACUGCGGGAAACUGUAGCUAAUACCGGAUACGACACCUUCGGGCAUCCGAUGGGUGUGGAAAGAAUUUCGGUCAAGGAUGAGCUCGCGGCCUAUCAGCUAGUUGGUGAGGUAAUGGCUCACCAAGGCGACGACGGGUAGCCGGCCUGAGAGGGUGACCGGCCACACUGGGACUGAGACACGGCCCAGACUCCUACGGGAGGCAGCAGUGGGGAAUAUUGCACAAUGGGCGCAAGCCUGAUGCAGCAACGCCGCGUGAGGGAUGAAGGCCUUCGGGUUGUAAACCUCUUUUAGUUGGGAAGAAGCGAAAGUGACGGUACCAACAGAAAAAGCACCGGCUAACUACGUGCCAGCCGCCGCCGUAA